rfam:Larimichthys crocea isolate SSNF unplaced genomic scaffold scaffold597, whole genome shotgun sequence.
CCAAAGGCUCUUUUAAGAGCCACCCACAUUCCCUCUAAAAGCUGA